GACGAACGCUGGCGGCGUGCCUAAUACAUGCAAGUAGAACGCUGAAGAGAGGAGCUUGCUCUUCUUGGAUGAGUUGCGAACGGGUGAGUAACGCGUAGGUAACCUGCCUGGUAGCGGGGGAUAACUAUUGGAAACGAUAGCUAAUACCGCAUAAAAUUGAUUAUUGCAUGAUAAUUAAUUGAAAGAUGCAACUGCAUCACUACCAGAUGGACCUGCGUUGUAUUAGCUAGUUGGUGAGGUAACGGCUCACCAAGGCGACGAUACAUAGCCGACCUGAGAGGGUGAUCGGCCACACUUGGACUGAGACACGGCCCAGACUCCUACGGGAGGCAGCAGUAGGGAAUCUUCGGCAAUGGGGGGAACCCUGACCGAGCAACGCCGCGUGAGUGAAGAAGGUUUUCGGAUCGUAAAGCUCUGUUGUAAGAGAAGAACGGGUGUGAGAGUGGAAAGUUCACACUGUGACGGUAUCUUACCAGAAAGGGACGGCUAACUACGUG
rnacentral:rRNA from 1 species